rnacentral:rRNA from 1 species
AUUGAACGCUGGCGGCAUGCCUUACACAUGCAAGUCGAACGGCAGCACGGGUGCUUGCACCUGGUGGCGAGUGGCGAACGGGUGAGUAGUAUAUCGGAACGUACCUUAGUGUGGGGGAUACGCAGCGAAAGCUGUGCUAAUACCGCAUAAUCCCUAAGGGGGAAAGCGGGGGACCGUAAGGCCUCGCGCAAUUAGAGCGGCCGAUACCUGAUUAGCUAGUUGGUGAGGUAAAGGCUCACCAAGGCAACGAUCAGUAGCUGGUCUGAGAGGACGAUCAGCCACACUGGGACUGAGACACGGCCCAGACUCCUACGGGAGGCAGCAGUGGGGAAUUUUGGACAAUGGGGGCAACCCUGAUCCAGCAAUGCCGCGUGAGUGAAGAAGGCCUUCGGGUUGUAAAGUUCUUUUGUCAGGGAAGAAACAGCAGCUCUAACACAGUAUGCGAAUGACGGUACCUGAAGAAUAAGCACCGGCUAACUACGUGCCAGCAGCCGCCGUAA